CUCCUCUGACAUUUUGAUUGGAUACUGAUUAGAACUUCGCCUUGUUUUGACACUAUUUCAAAGUUUGUGCAUUGUUUUUCAACUGUUCUUAUCUUGAAUUUACAUGAUGAAUAAUCGAAAUACAUAUUUAUUUCAAUACUUGAAAUUGUCUGCUGGUAUAAAGAACGUAAAGCGUAGAUUAUUAAUAUUUAAUAGAUUUUAAUCUGUAAAUUAAUCCAUAACAAAUUGUCUUUGCGGUGUCACGGAAGAGCUUCUUUCUCCAAAAGACAAUUAAAGGCGUUACAGUUGAUUUCGCGUAGAGAAUACUCAAUAUACAUGGGUACACGAGGUAAUACACAUUGAAAUCAGAUCCAUUUGGAAGAGUAUACAAAUUUGUCACAAUUGAUGGAAAAUAGCAGAUAAGAAGAACGGUUAUUACAACGUAGCUUGUUUUGGUUAUUGACAAGAAUUUCUGGCGCUUUAUUGCCGCCAUUUUUAUACUUUGCUGCUCAAAUAUCUGUCGUGUAUGACGAAGAACAAGGCGAUGAAUCCAUACCCAUAUAAACACGACUGUGAUUAUACAAAAUAUUAAAUAACCAGCGGCCAAAUAAAAAUGAACAGUCGAUGGAAUGAAAUAGUGAGAAAUCACUAGCAGAGGUAUGAUAAACCACGUUAAAGACACAGAUAGGUUCAAUCGGAAAGGAGUCACAAUAUUCUGGUAGUGAUAUGGAUAGGCUAAGGUGACAAAGCGUUCGACACUGAGAAUAACUAUGAUCGCCAGUGAACACCCACAACAUGCGUAUGUUGUCAUUUUCAACACUACUCCCAAUAAACAGUCAUCUGAGCCAAUGAUCUCUUGAAACUUUUUCACGAUGUACAUUGGUUGAAUUAUUGCAGUAACAAUGAUAUCAGACACCGCUAGAGCCACGAACAUGAUUGUGCUUGACGUUCUCAAACGCUUGUUGGUCAUAUACGACACGACAAUGAGAAUGUUAAAGAAUAUCCCUGGGGUUGACAAGAGGGCAUUCAAUAUGAUAUUAAAGAUGUUUGUAUAAAAAUGGAGCCCCGUUGCUGACGAAUGCAAACGAUAUUCGUCCAAAACAUGACCACACUUGCUGAACUGUGACAUUAUUUUCGUCGUUAUGAAUUUACCCGUUAACGAAUAAUACACUCUGUAUAUAUAUUUUAAAUUUAAUCUGAAAAGCAAUUAGAUUUUUAAAUUUAAUUUACACUUA
rnacentral:lncRNA from 1 species